rnacentral:misc_RNA from 1 species
UGUGGGAGCGAGCCUGCUCGCGAAGGCGUCAGCACAGUCGGAGUCUAUGUUGCCUGACACACCGCUUUCGCGAGCAGGCUCGCUCCCACA